rnacentral:lncRNA from 1 species
AUGUUGCCCAGCUGGUCUCAAACUACUGGCUUCAAGUCAUACCUCCAUUUCAGCCUCCCAAAUUUCUGGGAUUACAGGUGUGAGCCACAGUGCCUGGUUCCUGCUUAUUCCUUUCUUAUUUUCUUCCUUUAUUUCUUUUUUACACAGAUACUCAUGAAGACUUACAAUGUGCCAUUUCCCCGUGAAUAUUUCGGAAUACUCUUUCCUACACAGAGAGUUUUAAAACUCAUCCAAACAGUUGAAGACACUCUCAAGGAAUUACAGCAAAAGAUUACAGCUGACAAGUUGACUCUGAAAUAUCACAUGCCAUAAUAUGGUCCUACUUACUGCAAGCAACUGGACACAGUUCAUAUUGCUGGAAGUCUGUCCUUCAUACCUGAGGAAAGUUAUGUGAAGAGCCUUUUAAGACAAAAAGAGGAAACAGAAGACUUGAGCAAUACUACAAAUCAACAAGAUUUAACUGAUACAGAGCAUUCCACCCAAAAACAGCAGAAACUUACUUUCCCAAUGUAUAUUAAACAUUACUCAGGAUAGGACACAUGAAGAUUAUAAAACAAGUUUCAACAAAAUUUUAUAGUUUGAAAUCAUAAGAAGUGUCUUCUCUA